UGACAUUCGACAUCUUUAAAA
ensembl:piRNA 21ur-462 ncRNA